rnacentral:lncRNA from 1 species
CUCGUAUCACUCUCACCACCACCACCAUGACCACUUCCUUCCAUGUCGCUGUCUUCUGCGGUCCCUGGUUUGAAUAUAAACAGACCAUGCCCUGUCCCCGGCGCGCUGAACAACCAAUCAUAAACAUCCCAAAAGACUUGAACAGGUUGUUUAUCUACGAGCACGGUCUGGUUCCCUCUGAAUUUCCACUGCAGAUUCUUGACCUGUACCAAGACAAUCCCGUCAAUACUUAUCCACAUCUCUGGCUCUUUAGUCCCGGAGAUAGAGCUCUCCACGUUGAUCUCGUGCUCUUUUUUCCUGUCGUAAAACUUAGCCCUCGUAGCAAAACUCUUCUUCCCAAACACGUUUUCUUUCUUGUAAAACAAGGCAGCCUCGACCAAAGCGGGUCUUGAUUUUGUUCUCUUGAAAGCCUUCUUCUUGUAAUCACCCACCAACAAAACCACCUCUUCCUCCGCGACUAGAGCCACGUAGAAGUCCGAGCUCGGCUCGGGGCUACUCGUGAAUUUCGCAGACCUGAAAUCCCAAUACACCUCAACGGGGUUGCCUUCAACUUCAAAGGACUUGUAGCCUUUCUUGUUCCAGAAAUGCCACGGCUUAAGAUCAACCUUGCAGCAAUAAUUCAUAUCGCCUUCCACGCUUGUGACCAUGACCGUAAGCGAAUGGUUCAUUAGAUUCUUUGACCAUAGAACCGUCACAUUCCUCCAAAACCCAGAUAUAUGCGUUUGAUAUAUGCAUGUCACGGUGCUUUGUGCCGUCUUAUACGUCACCGGAUCAUCGGUUAUCUUCUCUGCAAAUUGACUGCUCCCUGUCGAAUGUGAUCUAAAGGACAUGAUCGCUUCUCUCCAAUCCCCUAAAUAUACUUUUACAUACAAACAAUAUCAAAUUAUAUGGUAAUUAUGUUUCACAUAUCAGCCAAAUGGUACCGAAGAUCUCUAAGAGGGUCGUGAAUGAAUCCUCUUGAGGCUGCUGCGACAGAUCCAAGAAUGAACAAAUAAAGAUCAAAUUGAGAAGAUAGGCUCUGGGAGAAUUGACUUGAGAUCUGGACAGAGAGAGAGAAAGAGAUGAGAAAAUAGAUUAAGGAAUAAUGAUUAGGAAAAGCAGAGAAAUCUCAAUGUAAGGAUGAUGAUGACGCGUAAAGACAUGGAAGGUUGCCUCAUCUUAUCAAAUAGACUUUCUAUUUGUUUUCUCAUAUCCAGUUUUUUUUUUUUUUGUUUUUCUUAUUUUGGAGCAUAAACUUAUAAUAACAGAUUAAAUUGGUUCGAGUUCAAUCAAACCCGUAUAAUACAUUUUCUUGACAAAAGCUUUCUCUUUUUUUUGAUAAGACUACUAUUCAAGUUUCCAAGCAUAAAGAAAGAGGCAAAACUCAGGCGGCCAAGAGCCACUCUUGGUCGAAUGAUACCUGCUCCCUGUGCUCGUAUCACUCUCACCACCACCACCAUGACCACUUCCUUCCAUGUCGCUGUCUUCUGCGGUCCCUGGUUUGAAUAUAAACAGACCAUGCCCUGUCCCCGGCGCGCUGAACAACCAAUCAUAAACAUCCCAAAAGACUUGAACAGGUUGUUUAUCUACGAGCACGGUCUGGUUCCCUCUGAAUUUCCACUGCAGAUUCUUGACCUGUACCAAGACAAUCCCGUCAAUACUUAUCCACAUCUCUGGCUCUUUAGUCCCGGAGAUAGAGCUCUCCACGUUGAUCUCGUGCUCUUUU